CCUCCUGUUUCAUUGGCAUCCAGCUGCCGCGGCGGCUCACAUGGAUGGACGGCUACAGCGGCGGCUAAGAACAGUUCGAUCGGAAGGUCCAUCUUCUCAUCGCCAAUUGUGAUGACGUGAACCAGGUUGCUUUUCGGCACGGUGGCCAUGGGUGAAAUAAGAUCGGAGGUGCACUCCAGCGACGCCUUGUUCUUUUUCCCGUUGAUGUGAAUCCUGCUCCAAGUUCUCCAACUGCAAUUAGCUGCUUUUGAAGCCCACCAAUCAUAUGCCAGGUUAUGCCAAGAACCACCACAGAUCUGGAGGAUGCCUUCUAUGCCCAUAUGCAACAUGCAAAUAGUCCAAAAUUUAGAUUUGGGGAUUUUUCUUCUGUUCAUGUGUGUACGUCUUUGGGUACAUUACGCCGCCGCCGCCGGCCAUGUGCGGUGGAGCGGCCAUGGUGAAGUUUGAUGCAUGCACGACGAGUGAUCUCAUGUUUCUUAUUGAUGAUGACGUAUAUGUUCUCUGCGAAAAAAUUGAUGAUGUAUAUGUACUCCUUCUGAUGCAUAUGAACUGAUUUUUUUUUAUAAACUUACCUUUUAUUUCAGAUGAAUAUACUAAUUGUUCUGUGAA